rnacentral:rRNA from 1 species
AUUGAACGCUGGCGGAAUGCUUUACACAUGCAAGUCGAACGGCAGCACGGGGCAACCUGGUGGCGAGUGGCGAACGGGUGAGUAAUACAUCGGAACGUGCCCAAUCGUGGGGGAUAACGUAGCGAAAGUUACGCUAAUACCGCAUACGAUCUACGGAUGAAAGCGGGGGAUCGAAAGACCUCGCGCGAAUGGAGCGGCCGAUGUCAGAAUAGGUAGGUGGUGGGGUAAAGGCUCACCAAGCCAACGAUCUGUAGCUGGUCUGAGAGGACGACCAGCCACACUGGGACUGAGACACGGCCCAGACUCCGACGGGAGGCAGCAGUGGGGAAUUUUGGACAAUGGGCGCAAGCCUGAUCCAGCCAUUCCGCGUGCAGGAUGAAGGCCUUCGGGUUGUAAACUGCUUUUGUACGGAACGAAACGGUUCUCUCUAAUACAGGGGGCUAAUGACGGUACCGUAAGAAUAAGCACCGGCUAACUACGUGCCAGCAGCCGCAGUAACAC